rnacentral:rRNA from 1 species
UACAGAGGGUGCAAGCGUUGCUCGGAAUUAUUGGGCGUAAAGGGUAGGUAGGUGGUCUCAUUUGUCAGGGGUGAAAUCCUUGGGCUUAACCCAAGAAGUGCCCCUGAAACGGUGAGACUGGAGUGCUGGAGAGGGUCGUGGAAUUCCCGGUGUAGCGGUGAAAUGCGUAGAGAUCGGGAGGAACACCAGAGGCGAAGGCGGCGACCUGGACAGCUACUGACACUCAACUACGAAAGCGUGGGGAGCAAACAGG